GAUGAACGCUGGCGGCGUGCUUAACACAUGCAAGUCGAACGGAAAGGCCCAAGCUUUCUUGGGUACUCGAGUGGCGAACGGGGGAGUAACACGUGGGGGAUCUGCCCUUCACUUCGGGAUAAGCCUGGGAAACUGGGGCGAAUACCGGAGAUGACGUUGUGAUGGAUGCCAUUGUGGAAAGUUUUUUCGGUGUGGGAUGAGCUCGCGGCGUAUCAGCGUGGUGUUGGGGUAAUGGCGUAGCAAGGCGUCGACGGGUAGCCGGCAUGCGAGAGUGUACGGACACUUUGGACCCGAGAGACAGGCAAGAGUACGGAGGGAGGCGCAAGGGGGGAAUAUCUGACAGUGGGAGGACGCGUGAGGGAGGGAGGUCGCGUGGGGGAUGACGGCUGUUGGGUUGUAAGAACCUUUGGCUAGGGACGAAGCGUUUUUGUGACGGUACCUGGAGAGGAAGCAACGGCUAACUACGUG
rnacentral:rRNA from 1 species